rnacentral:snRNA from 1 species
AUACUUAUCUGGAAGGGGAGAUACCAUGACCACUAAUGUGGUUUUCCUAGGGCAAGGCUUAUCCAUUAUACUUCUGGAUGUGCUGACCCCUAUGCUCUGCCCAAAUGUAGGAAACUCGACUGCAUAACUUGUGGUAGUGGGGGACUGCGUUUGCGCUCUGUUUGG